CUUAGACAACAACACUUAGUAAACAACUAAGUAAACAACACUUAGACAACAAAAGGAAAAAAAAUAGUACAGAUUUUAGGUAUUAAGAGCUUGAAAUUGGAGGACACGUCCGCGUGGAAAGCAGAGGUUUGGGCAGGGGCCGGUCCCUGCUUACCUGCACUUACAGGUGGGGCAGUGAGCAUGGGCUCCCAGGGAGGGGCUCUGGCUCCCAGGUGAGCACGUUACAGCAGUUUGGAACCUGCUGUUGCCCGCAUCCUGUAACUCCAGGAUUUUUUUUUUAUACCUUAGUAUCUUGAAGUUCUUUUUUUUGUAGCAAGAGAUCUCAGUUUUAUAAUGGAAAUCUUCGGACAAAUAGGAUUUACUUAACAUCCAGCUUUGCUGGAAUAUAUUUAGUCUAAUUUGAAGAGGUUUCUAUAGUUUCUUAACUUUUAUAAUUAGAAUUAAAAUGCUAACAUUUCUUGGGGAAAGCCCAAUCCAUAUUUCAAACUUGAAAGAUUAAAAAAGUGGCAUUUAUGUUAUUUAACAUGCAU
rnacentral:lncRNA from 1 species